UAACUGCAGACAAAUUGGCUUUCUCCCUCCUCUCUCUUCCUGCAAGUCAAUGGAACCGUCCAAAAUAAGCAGUGAGACAACAGUCUUCUUUCCCUUUCAUUGCCUUCUUCUUCUUCUCUCCUUCUCUGUAUCAUACAGAUCAAUUCCAUUUCGAGUUUGGAUUCGUAAGCACGGUCUACUUCUCUUUCAAAAUUCAAAUCCCAGAUCUAAAAAUCUCAUUUCAAAUUUCAAAUCCCUCUUCCUCUCUUUCUCUCUUUCUCUCUUUCUCUCUCUCAAAGAUUCCGAAAUUCCUUAAACUCUUAAACCCUAAUUUUCUUUUGUUUCACUGAAAUUGAAAUUUUGUUUGGUUUUCUGUUUGUAUUUGGGUUCUAGGGUUUCCGUCGGUAUUCAACUUCAAUUUACGAUUCUAUUGUUUCUUGUAAUCCACGAGAAGGCUGUGAAUCUGUUGUUUGAGAAGAGGCCGGAGCAGUUUGGAAUCGGCGUUUGAUUGUUGUUUCGAAUCGAAGGAAGAUGUAGGUAUAUUCAUGGAAAUCCCGCAUAUCGGUGGCCAUCUCUAUCCCUCUCGUCCGUCACGCACCGUCGGCAAAGUUUCAGGUAAGGUUUCUUUGUUAUUCGUAUAAUGUUCAACUUAAGAGUUAGGCCGGUUGGAGCUGGAGAAUCAGAAGGAGAUUCCUCAUUACACACUUCAUCAGAUUCAGCCUCGUGUGGAAUCCUUUGAGGAACAGGUGAUAUCGGAGUCGAAGAUAUUGGAUGUGUUGCCGAAUUUCCGAUGGUUGUUUGCAGGAAAGUUUGAAAAGAGGUAUGCGGCUGUGCAAAAGAGGCGUGAUGAUUUUAUGCAGGUUUGAAUUGAUGAGUUUAGAGCGGGUGGUUUCUGGGUGGUGAAGAGAAGAAAAAGAAGACAUUGCUUGAGAUUUUAUUGUCUCUACAAGAUGCUGAUCCGGAGUAUUAUACAGACGAAAUGAUCAAAAGCCUUUCACAGGCUCUAUUACUUGGAGGAAUCAAUACAUCGGUCGAGACGAUGGAGUGGGCGAUGACGCUUUUACUUAACAACCCGAACGUUUUACACAAGGCGCAAACUGAAAUCGACAUCUUCGUAGGAUGCGAUUGAUUAGUGAACGACGCCGAUCUAUCGAAGCUUCCAUACUUGCAGUGUAUCAUCAAGGAGACGUUAAGAAUGCACCCAACCGCGCCUUUACGUCUUCCUCAUGAGUCAUCCAAAGAUUGUGUGGUUAGUGGUUACAAUAUCCCACAUGGUACAAUGUUGUUCGUGAAUGUGUGUGGGCUAUACAAAAUGAUCCAAACACUAUACAAGGAGAUUUUUAAAGAAAUUUGAAUUAUAUUUUGUAAAUUUAAACUAUCCUAUAUAUUUUUAACUAUAUUUUUUAAAUAUAGAAUAAAAUUUUAUCUUCUUUUUAUUUCCAAACAAAAUUAAACUACCCUCAUUUGUUAAACCGCGUGUACACGCGGGUUAUAACCUAGUAUCUUUAUAAACAUGUAAGAAAGAAAUCACAUUCACAAUGACAUGUGGCAAAAGUGUCCAAUAUUCAGUUUUGUUCGUAAAUGCAUAUUCUACAAUCACUUUCACCCAUGUGCCAUGUACCAUCAGAAUGUAAUCACUUUAUUGAUAUUUUUAGGUGAUAAGCAACAUAAACUAGCAUACAAUAAUCAGAAUGCAAUCACUUUAUUGAUAUUUAUAGGUGAUAAGCAACAAAAACUAGCAUACGAUAAACAUAUUUGUGUAUAAGUUCAUAUUUAGAGUUAAUUACAGCGUUAGUCCCUAUAGUUUGUAGAAAGUAACAACCUAAGAUACUAAUAGUUUAAAAUAACAUCCUAAGGUAUUAACCUUCUAAUUUGUAACAAAUUAGGGUACUAACACCUAACCCGGUUUAAUUUUAACAGAGUUCAAGAUUAAUUAAGUCCUUUUGCAUUCUUCAUUUAUCAAAACUAAUAAAAAAAACCCUUAGAUGUAUGAACCCUUACUUAUUCUCUUUACGUAGGAAGUUACAUAAUAAUGUCAACAUGUGACAUGAAUAUUGUGAUUUUUUUUUUUACAAAGCAAUGGUAGGUAGUCGGGCAACAAGUUGCGCCGCCACCCCUUUUGAAUAGAUUCUUUUACUAAAUUAAGUUUAAUUGUGAUAUUAAAUUAAGUUUUUUAUGUUAAAAAAAAACAUAUUUUGAGUCUUUUUGACUAAUGGAUUCUUUUACUCACAUUUACCAAAAAUGUAACUUUUGGCUAUUUUGUUGAUUAGUUUAUGAAAUAAUCAAAACUUGUAAGGUAAUACGUAGUGGGGCGGUAUGUCCAAGCAUGGCGCCGGCAAAACGCCGGGCACACCAAUACGCGAGGCGCUAUGAAUCGAAAAUGAGGGGUUGGCGCGAUGUUUAUAGCGGCGUGAUGUGUGGGUUUGUUUGAUUUUUUUUUUCCUUUUUCUGCUUUGUUUUUGUGUUUGUGUUGCAGGUAUCCAUCGAAGAAGAAGAAGAAGAAGGAAGACAAGGAAGAGGAAGAAUUUUAGGGUUUUUAAUUUAUGGGCUUUGGGCUAGUUUGUGUUUUGUUUUAUAUGGGCUUUGGACUGAUUUUGUGUUUUGAGUUAAUUAGUGUAAGGUUUUUUUUAUUUUUUUAGUCCAA